UCUUUUGUAGUAAAACAUAUUACAUAAGUCUUGUAAACUUAAAUUCCUAAUAAGGCGAAAGAG
rnacentral:tRNA from 1 species